rfam:Otolemur garnettii contig125416, whole genome shotgun sequence.
GACGCAGUGGUGCGCACUUACAGUUCCAGCUACUCAGGAGGCUUAGACAGGACGAUUGCUUGAGUCCAGGAGUUCUGGGCUGUAAUGCGCCAUGCUGAUUGGGUGUCCCCACUAAGUUCAGCAUCAAUAUGACCUCCCAGGAGUGGAGACCCGCCAGGUUGCCUAAGGAGGAGUGAACCAGCCCAGGUCGGAAAUGGAGCAGGUCAAAGCUCCCAUGCUGAUCAGUAGUGGGAUGGUGCCUGUGAAUAGCCACUGCACCCCAGCCUGGGCAACAUAGUGAGACCCCGUCUCUA